rnacentral:rRNA from 1 species
CCUACGGGAGGCAGCAGUGGGGAAUUUUGGACAAUGGGCGCAAGCCUGAUCCAGCCAUGCCGCGUGCGGGAAGAAGGCCUUCGGGUUGUAAACCGCUUUUGUCAGGGAAGAAAUCUUCUGGGUUAAUACCUCGGGAGGAUGACGGUACCUGAAGAAUAAGCACCGGCUAACUACGUGCCAGCAGCCGCGGUAAU